GGUGGGAAAGACUGGUGCCAGCAGCCGCGGUAACACCAGCGCCACGAGUGGCGAUCGCGAUUAUUGGGUCUAAAGCGUCCGUAGCCGGUUUGAUAAGUCUUUUGUGCCCCUGUUGUCCUAAAUUCACCAGCGUGCAAAAGAUACUGUCAGACUUGGAACUGGGAGGAGUAAGGAGUAUUCCAAGGGGAGCGGUAAAAUGCUAUAAUCCUUGGAGGACUACCUGUGGCGAAAGCGCCUUACUAGAACAGCUUCGACGGUGAGGGACGAAAGCCAGGGGAGCAAACCGGAUUAGAUACCCGAGUACUCCUGUCCAUAAACGCCGUGAGCAAGAUGUUGCACAUUUUUCGUGAAUGUGCAGUGUCGAAGAGAAGUCGUUAAGCUCACCACCUGGGAAGUAUGGUCCCAAGGCUGAAACUUAAAGGUUUCCGGGGGAGCAC
rnacentral:rRNA from 1 species